GAAUUCAACGUAGAAAAGUUUUAAUGAGACAAAUGUCAAACAAGCACAUCAACUUCUUAAAAAACAAAGAAAAUCUGAAAGUUUAAUUACAAAAACACUUAUACAGAAAACUUGGCAUUUCAACAGUUCCAAACACAUGUACACAAGUUUUUUCUAAAAUCAGUCAGAAAUAAAAUACCUUGUCUCCCUUUCCUCAGCUGCUUCUUGUAUUUUAAUUAAAAAGAAACAAAGAAAUCUGUAACACUGAAUAGGCAACAACUUAUUUCUUGAGAACAUAAAAGUACAGUAAUAUCUACAGGUGUACUGGGAAACAUGAGUUAGGUAUUGUGCUAGCCUGUAACUUCAUUUACUGCCUCCUCACUGAGCACAGAGGAGAGAGGAGGUGGCACAGACCUGGUCUAUAGAUACUGACAGUUUUGUGGCAUCUGAAUCCCAGCCACCAGAGGCAGGUGAGUAGCUACUGGGAAAGACAGCAUUUCAGAAGCAAGCUGCUUAUUUUGUGAAAAUGAUUUCAUACUGUAGGCUCUCUUGAAAUCUCAUGCAUUCCUGAAUAUGCAAAUGUUUCAAGUCACUGUCAAGUGUCCCAUCUAGAGUCAGAAGAAUGAUGAUCCUGGACCAUGUUAUGGCCUUUUCUGGUCACAAAAGCAGUGCUAGCAAUGCUGCACAAAACUGAACACAAAUGAGAAACAGAAAUAUGAGGAGGAAGGAAGACAGGACACAAAGCAUCUGGCAGAAGGAAAAAACAAAACUCCAGAAUGGGCUCUGGAUGUCCUUCUGCCAUAGACAGUGAGUUCUAGCUUGGGCUUUGCAGACAAGGAGUCUAAGAGAAGUGGCAGAAAUAGCAGAUGAUGGCAGGGAAAUAGGAAAAUACAGAAGAGCAAGAGAACUGGCUAGGUUUAUAGCAAUAGAUAAUAAUGGGGUCUUAUUCUAAAAAAUUGCCAAGUGAUGGUAUGUGGGUUUCAGCGCAUGGAUAUUUGAUAUAUGUUCAUAUAAGACAUUUUAAAAACAGAUUUUGUUGCUGUUGUUUUCCUUUGGACUAAUAAAGAAAACAGGCAAGGAGAUGCUGAGAAGACAGGAUGGUGUAGCAACAUGACAGGUAGUUCUGCCCUAUGCCCUGACUUAUGGGCAUACUAUGAGAGGGGCCGCACUUCUAUCCACCUGCCUGCAGUGGUGUGGGGCCCAGACAACGGGCUCUGCUUGCUCUGCCUUUGGUUCCAAAGAUCUCAGCUGUAACCUUUAGCCUUGUGCUCUGCAGUGUCAAAACAAAAACAAAAACAAAAACAAUGAACAACCAAAAAACCCUGAGGUAAGAAUCAGAACCUCUCUUUCCUU
rnacentral:lncRNA from 10 species